rnacentral:rRNA from 1 species
GGUUAAGCGACUAAGCGUACACGGUGGAUGCCCUGGCAGUCAGAGGCGAUGAAGGACGUGCUAAUCUGCGAAAAGCGCCGGCGAGGUGAUAUGAACCUUUGACCCGGCGAUGUCCGAAUGGGGAAACCCAGUGUGUUCCGACACACUAUCGUUAACUGAAUACAUAGGUUAACGAGGCGAACCGGGGGAACUGAAACAUCUAAGUACCCCGAGGAAAAGAAAUCAACCGAGAUUCCCCCAGUAGCGGCGAGCGAACGGGGAGCAGCCCAGAGUCUGAAUCAGCUUGUGUGUUAGUGGAAGCGUCUGGAAAGUCGCACGGUACAGGGUGACAGUCCCGUACACGAAAAUGCACAGGUUGUGAACUCGAAGAGUAGGGCGGGACACGUGGUAUCCUGUCUGAAUAUGGGGGGACCAUCCUCCAAGGCUAAAUACUCCUGACUGACCGAUAGUGAACCAGUACCGUGAGGGAAAGGCGAAAAGAACCCCGGCGAGGGGAGUGAAAUAGAACCUGAAACCGUGUACGUACAAGCAGUGGGAGCACCUUCGUGGUGUGACUGCGUACCUUUUGUAUAAUGGGUCAGCGACUUAUAUUCUGUAGCAAGGUUAACCGUAUAGGGGAGCCGAAGGGAAACCGAGUCUUAACUGGGCGUUAAGUUGCAGGGUAUAGACCCGAAACCCGGUGAUCUAGCCAUGGGCAGGUUGAAGGUUGGGUAACACUAACUGGAGGACCGAACCGACUAAUGUUGAAAAAUUAGCGGAUGACUUGUGGCUGGGGGUGAAAGGCCAAUCAAACCGGGAGAUAGCUGGUUCUCCCCGAAAGCUAUUUAGGUAGCGCCUCGUGAACUCAUCUUCGGGGGUAGAGCACUGUUUCGGCUAGGGGGCCAUCCCGGCUUACCAACCCGAUGCAAACUACGAAUACCGAAGAAUGUUAUCACGGGAGACACACGGCGGGUGCUAACGUCCGUCGUGAAGAGGGAAACAACCCAGACCGCCAGCUAAGGUCCCAAAGUCAUGGUUAAGUGGGAAACGAUGUGGGAAGGCACAGACAGCCAGGAUGUUGGCUUAGAAGCAGCCAUCAUUUAAAGAAAGCGUAAUAGCUCACUGGUCGAGUCGGCCUGCGCGGAAGAUGUAACGGGGCUAAACCAUGCACCGAAGCUGCGGCAGCGACACUAUGUGUUGUUGGGUAGGGGAGCGUUCUGUAAGCCGUUGAAGGUGUGCUGUGAGGCAUGCUGGAGGUAUCAGAAGUGCGAAUGCUGACAUAAGUAACGAUAAAGCGGGUGAAAAGCCCGCUCGCCGGAAGACCAAGGGUUCCUGUCCAACGUUAAUCGGGGCAGGGUGAGUCGACCCCUAAGGCGAGGCCGAAAGGCGUAGUCGAUGGGAAACAGGUUAAUAUUCCUGUACUUGGUGUUACUGCGAAGGGGGGACGGAGAAGGCUAUGUUAGCCGGGCGACGGUUGUCCCGGUUUAAGCAUGUAGGCGGAACGAUUAGGUAAAUCCGGUCGUUUUUAACGCUGAGGUGUGAUGACGAGGCACUACGGUGCUGAAGUAACAAAUGCCCUGCUUCCAGGAAAAGCCUCUAAGCAUCAGGUAACAUCAAAUCGUACCCCAAACCGACACAGGUGGUCAGGUAGAGAAUACCAAGGCGCUUGAGAGAACUCGGGUGAAGGAACUAGGCAAAAUGGUGCCGUAACUUCGGGAGAAGGCACGCUGAUAUGUAGGUGAAGCCCCUGCGGGUGGAGCUGAAAUCAGUCGAAGAUACCAGCUGGCUGCAACUGUUUAUUAAAAACACAGCACUGUGCAAACACGAAAGUGGACGUAUACGGUGUGACGCCUGCCCGGUGCCGGAAGGUUAAUUGAUGGGGUUAGCGGCAACGCGAAGCUCUUGAUCGAAGCCCCGGUAAACGGCGGCCGUAACUAUAACGGUCCUAAGGUAGCGAAAUUCCUUGUCGGGUAAGUUCCGACCUGCACGAAUGGCGUAAUGAUGGCCAGGCUGUCUCCACCCGAGACUCAGUGAAAUUGAACUCGCUGUGAAGAUGCAGUGUACCCGCGGCAAGACGGAAAGACCCCGUGAACCUUUACUAUAGCUUGACACUGAACACUGGUCCUUGAUGUGUAGGAUAGGUGGGAGGCUUUGAAGCGUGGACGCCAGUCUGCGUGGAGCCGUCCUUGAAAUACCACCCUUUAAUGGCUGGUGUUCUAACGUAGACCCGUGAUCCGGGUUGCGGACAGUGUCUGGUGGGUAGUUUGACUGGGGCGGUCUCCUCCCAAAGAGUAACGGAGGAGCACGAAGGUUAGCUAAUCCUGGUCGGACAUCAGGAGGUUAGUGCAAUGGCAUAAGCUAGCUUGACUGCGAGAGUGACGGCUCGAGCAGGUGCGAAAGCAGGUCAUAGUGAUCCGGUGGUUCUGAAUGGAAGGGCCAUCGCUCAACGGAUAAAAGGUACUCCGGGGAUAACAGGCUGAUACCGCCCAAGAGUUCAUAUCGACGGCGGUGUUUGGCACCUCGAUGUCGGCUCAUCACAUCCUGGGGCUGAAGUAGGUCCCAAGGGUAUGGCUGUUCGCCAUUUAAAGUGGUACGCGAGCUGGGUUUAGAACGUCGUGAGACAGUUCGGUCCCUAUCUGCCGUGGGCGCUGGAGAAUUGAGGGGGGCUGCUCCUAGUACGAGAGGACCGGAGUGGACGCAUCACUGGUGUUCGGGUUGUCAUGCCAAUGGCACUGCCCGGUAGCUAAAUGCGGAAAAGAUAAGUGCUGAAAGCAUCUAAGCACGAAACUUGCCCCGAGAUGAGUUCUCCCUGAGACUUUAAGUCUCCUGAAGGAACGUUGAAGACGACGACGUUGAUAGGUCGGGUGUGUAAGCGCAGCGAUGCGUUGAGCUAACCGAUACUAAUGAACCGUGAGGCUUAACCUU